AACGAACGCUGGCGGCAGGCUUAACACAUGCAAGUCGAGCGCCCACCUCGGUGGGAGCGGCAGACGGGUGAGUAACGCGUGGGAAUCUACCCAGUUCUACGGAAUAACUGAGGGAAACUUCAGCUAAUACCGUAUACGCCUACGGGGGAAAGAUUUAUCGGAAUUGGAUGAGCCCGCGUUAGAUUAGCUAGUUGGUGGGGUAAUGGCCUACCAAGGCGACGAUCUAUGGCUGGUCUGAGAGGAUGAUCAGCCACACUGGGACUGAGACACGGCCCAGACUCCUACGGGAGGCAGCAGUGGGGAAUAUUGGACAAUGGGCGAAAGCCUGAUCCAGCCAUGCCGCGUGAGUGAUGAAGGCCCUAGGGUUGUAAAGCUCUUUCAGUGGUGAAGAUAAUGACGGUAACCACAGAAGAAGCCCCGGCUAACUUCGUG
rnacentral:rRNA from 1 species